GAUGAACGCUGGCGGCGUGCCUAAUACAUGCAAGUCGAGCGAGCGGACGAGAAGCUUGCUUCUCUGAUGUUAGCGGCGGACGGGUGAGUAACACGUGGAUAACCUACCUAUAAGACUGGGAUAACUUCGGGAAACCGGAGCUAAUACCGGAUAAUAUUUUGAACCGCAUGGUUCAAAAGUGAAAGACGGUCUUGCUGUCACUUAUAGAUGGAUCCGCGCUGCAUUAGCUAGUUGGUAAGGUAACGGCUUACCAAGGCAACGAUGCAUAGCCGACCUGAGAGGGUGAUCGGCCACACUGGAACUGAGACACGGUCCAGACUCCUACGGGAGGCAGCAGUAGGGAAUCUUCCGUAAUGGGCGAAAGCCUGACGGAGCAACGCCGCGUGAGUGAUGAAGGUCUUCGGAUCGUAAAACUCUGUUAUUAGGGAAGAACAUAUGUGUAAGUAACUGUGCACAUCUUGACGGCACCUAAUCAGAAAGCCACGGCUAACUACGUG
rnacentral:rRNA from 1 species